ACCAUCUGAUUGAUCUUCAAUUUAGGGGUUUUUAGCAGAUUACACGAUAGUUGAUGUAAAUCUUAAACACCCAAGACUUGUUUCAACCAUACCAGUGAUUUGUUUCCAAACCAUACUCGAGGUAUUUGCAGACUUGCAGCUAUUGCCCAAUUUCAAGUUACACAAAUUUUGGUCGGAAUAUGAGAGAACCCGAUUGCGUAUGCUAGAAUCUUUAUUUGUUUUCAUCUGGUGAGAGAAUUGUUUGGACAGUUUGUGUUAGGGGUGUAGUGCACGCCACCUGUUUGAUAAAUUGCCGAAACGAAGUCUACAGCUGCUUUAAGCCAGUUCCAAUGGCAGAAAGCAGUGAGAAGUAUGAAAACGCGAAACUUUAUGCUGAUAUGUUACGGAAUACGCCGUCCAAUAUCAGGAGGUUAACUGAUGAGAUAGAGCAGUGUGAGGGGCGGCAGAAGUAUCUUGCACAGACUAGAAGCCCGUCGGAUGGGGGUGAUGUUAGGUGGUACUUCUCUAAGGUUCCAAUGGCGGAAAAUGAGCUAGCUGCUGCUUUCCCACGUGCAGAAGUAGUAGGGAAAGGUGAUUAUUUUCGAUUUGGUAUGAGGGAUUCUCUUGCAAUAGAGGCAUCGUUCUUGCAGCGAGAAGAGGAGUUGCUCUCUAAUUGGUGGGGAGAGUAUGGUGAAUGUAGCGAAGGUCCGAAAGGGUCAGUUCCUUCAACUUCUAAGUCAGAACCAGCGGUAAAACCAUAUAAUUUACCUAGCACUCAAUCAGAGCAACGAUACGCGGACGAAGAUGAGAGAGUUGGUGUCCCCGUGAAAGGAGGCUUGUAUGAGGUAGACUUAGUAAGAAGACAUAGUUUUCCUGUUUAUUGGAAUGGAGACAAUCGGCGUGUUCUAAGAGGCCACUGGUUUGCUCGUAAAGGGAGUCUUGAUUGGCUUCCACUCCGCGAAGAUGUUGCUGAACAGUUGGAGUUUGCUUAUCGCAGCCGGGUUUGGCACCGUAGAACAUUUCAACCAUCUGGAUUAUUUGCAGCACGGGUUGAUAUGCAAGGGUCUAGCCCGGGUCUACAUGCUCUUUUUACGGGUGAGGAUGAUACAUGGGAUGCUUGGCUAAAUGUCGGUGCAUCUGGAUUUGCUAGCAUAGUUAAUUUUGGAGGGACUGGCAUUAAAUUAAGGCGUGGAUAUGCUCCAUCUCUUUCAGAAAAGCCAACCCAGGACGAGUUACGUCAACAGAAAGAGGAAGAAAUGGAUGAUUACUGUUCACAGGUCCCAGUUCGUCAUUUGGUGUUCAUGGUUCAUGGUAUCGGUCAAAGGUUGGAGAAAGCAAAUUUGGUUGAUGACGUUGGCACUUUCCGUCAUGUUACAGAAAGCCUUGCUGAUCUGCACCUAACGUCUUACCAACGUGGAACUCAAAGAGUUCUUUUCAUUCCGUGCCAGUGGAGGAAAGACUUAAAGCUCAGUGGUGAAUCUGCUGUAGAAAAAUGUACGUUACCUGGUGUACGUGGGUUGCGAGUAACAUUGAGUGCAACUGUUCAUGAUGUGUUAUAUUACAUGAGCCCAAUCUACUGCCAGGAUAUCAUUAACUCGGUUUCCAACCAAUUAAACAGGUUAUAUUUGAAGUUUCUUAUGAGAAAUCCUGGUUAUGAUGGGAAGGUUUCCUUAUAUGGCCAUUCUUUGGGAAGUGUCCUUUCUUAUGACAUCCUUUGCCACCAAGAGAAUCUAUCUUCUCCAUUUCAGACACAAUGGAUGUUCAAGGAACCUAACCACAAAAUUUCUCCCGAAUGUGAAUCUUCUAUGAGUUCGGGCAACACGGACUUAACCACCCAUAAAGAUCCUCCUUUAAAGGACAUUACAAAUGCUCACUCGGAAGCUAUACUCCCUGAAACGUAUUCUGAAGAGUCUGGCUCUCCGCUCACUCAAGCAUCGGUCUCAGAUGAAAAUUUGUCAGUAGAAAGUGAUUCUAAGAAAAGGGAUAGUCCGGCAUUAGAUGAAGUUGGAGUCAAAUCCAGCGAUAACCCAAUUGAGAUGCAGUCUGAGGAGAAAAAUGGUUUGGAUGAAUGCACAAGCAUCAAUGGUGAAGUCUUAACAAGCAACUCGAAUGGAAUUGAUGAGGAAAUUAUUAAGAAUGAUGAAAACAUACUAAUCAAAUCACUGAAGGAAGAGAUUGAUUUUUUGAAUGCCAGAAUUAAAGAAUUAGAAUCACACAGAGCUGAAGCAAAUGAGCAGGAAGCUUCAAUUGCAACAACUGGAAGUGUCUCCAAGAGUUCUCCAUCUUUGAAUAAUGACACACCAGAGAGCUACACCCCUUAUAUAAUAAAGUACACCAAGUUGGAGUUCAAGGUUGAUACAUUCUUUGCAGUUGGCUCUCCUCUUGGUGUAUUUCUUGCCUUGCGCAAUAUCCGAAUUGGAAUUGGCAAAGGAAAUGAUUACUGGGACAAUAAAAACAUAAUUGAAGAAAUGCCAUCUUGUCGGCAAAUGUUCAACAUUUUCCAUCCUUACGAUCCAGUGGCAUACAGAAUCGAACCACUUGUCUGUAAAGAGUAUAUCGACAAGCGUCCAGUCAUUAUUCCUUAUCACAGAGGUGGAAAGAGGCUGCAUGUUGGAUAUCAGGAAUUUGUAGAAAAAGUUGCAUUACGCUCUCAAGUGGUGGUUGAUCAUAUGAGCUUGGUAAAGGUUAAGGUAUUGACUGUAUGCCAAUCCAGGGACAGUGAUGAUGACCAUGAAGAAGAAACCUCGGAACAACCCGAAGAAAUAGAGAGAUCAUAUGGUUCAAUAAUGUUGGAGAGGAUAACAGGGAGUCGAGAUGGGCGCAUCGAUCAUGUGCUUCAAAAUAAAACAUUUGAGCAUCAAUACAUAUCAGCUGUUAGUGCACAUACAAAAUACUGGAGAGACCCCGAUACCGCACUAUUCAUUUUGAAGCACUUAUAUCGGGAUAUACCAAACGAGCCCGGAUUUCCAAAUAAACCCACAGAAAACGAUACAAAUCAAGAAAAUGAUGAGUGGGAUAAGUUGUUCGAUGAUGAAGAGCUCCCGUUAACUUUUGCUGAUGAGAAGUUUCUGAAACAGUUCUCAAUUAGAGCCAAGAAGUUCACAAAAGACAAGUGAAUCAUGCUCACUUCCUUCUAGAUCUGUAUAUAAAAUGUAAAUGCAGGUAAGUACUAGGAAUAAAUGACCUUUUGUUAGAUUUUCUUUAAAUCCAUGACCUUCUGACAGAUUUGAGAAUAUCAUUGCUUAAGAGAAAAAUGCCACUUUCAUAUAUAAGAAUACCUUGAAACCUGUCCGAAGGUCAUGGAUUUAAAAAACACUUGUCAGGAGGUCGGUCAUUUUUUUCAAGUUUUUUUAUUAAGUUCUUUUAUUUUCUUGCUUAUUUCAUUUUAUCGUUUUUCUUUUAAAUCCAUGACCUUCAGACAGAUUUGAGAAUGCUUUUAUAUCUAAAAAUGCUUAGAAACCUGUCAAAAGGUCAUGGAUUUAACAAGCAGUUGUCAAGUUAUUUUUUGCAGGUUCUUUGAGCAAAUUUCUUACUGGUUAUUUGGUUUUCUUUGAGUACCUUUGUCAUUUCUAUCUUUUCUUUUAAAUCCAUGACCUUCUCUCAGAUCUCGUUUAAAUCCAUGACUUUCGGACGUAUUUAAAAUCGUCACUGAUUAACAGAAGAAUGCCACUUUCAUACACAAGAAAGCCUAGAAACUUGUUAGAAGGUCAUGAAUUUAAAAAUCACUUACUUUUUGCAAGUUUUUUUAGUAACAUUUCUACAAGUUCUUUGAUUUCUUGCUUACCCUUUUCAUUCAUCUUUUAAAUCCGUGAUCUUCUUACAGAUUUGAGAAUGCCACUGCUUAAGAAAAGAAUGUUACUUUCAUAUACAAUAAUGCUUAGAAACCUGCCAGAAGGCACGGAAACAUUGAAAUUUUGCCGAAGAUAUAACACAGAAUACGAGUUCAGUUCAACCGGAGGUCGCCGAUAUCGACCAAGAGAAAGAAUGUUAGUUUGCUUCCCUACCCUUUUUUGAACCAUUCUGAAAUGGAAGCAUAAAACCUUGUACUUUGUGCUAGAAAACUUGUACAAUAGGUGAAAAUGAACCUGGUUGUAUAUACUAGCAACUUAGAGUCUUAAAACACUUUGCUCUUGCUGAUGUGGUUCAAUUAUCUUCUGUAAAUGAUAGGCUGUUUCUUCUCU